GAUGAAGAACGUAGCGAAAUGCGAUAAGUAAUGUGAAUUGCAGAAUUCAGUGAAUCAUCGAAUCUUUGAACGCACCUUGCGCCUUUUGGUAUUCCGAAAGGCACACCUGUUUGAGCGUCAUGAAUACCUCAAUCUCCAUCUUUUCUUCGGAUUGAUGGGUGACUUGGAUGUUGAGCCCUGCUGGUAUGCUAUAUCAGCUGGCUUUAAACUUAUUAGCCGGCUCUGUACUGGAUCGGUUUGACUCGACGUGAUAAUAUUAUCGUUGAGGAUGCAUGUCUCAUGCAGCCGGAAAGUAUAAAGCAGCUUCUAGCUUGCCUUUAGUGCACUUUUACAUUUUAGACCUCAGAUCAGGUGGGACUACCCGCUGAACUUAAGCAUAUCAAUAAGCGGAGGA
rnacentral:misc_RNA from 1 species